rnacentral:lncRNA from 1 species
CAAGUCCAAACAUUUCCUCAAGUGACAUUCACCAACCUCAUAGCUAGGCAAUGAUUACAUAAGAGAUAAAUUUCACUUAAUUUUAUUUCCUUUUUGUUUUCUUCUUAUUUCGCAUUUUAUUUAUUUUUUGAAUGUGAAACAAUAGUUAUAGCUAGUAGCAAGGUUUUAAAUCAUAGUCGUGGCUUCAUCACAAUCAACACACUUUUAACACAAUCUUUUCAACACACAUUUUUUAAUUGGUUGAAAUUCAAAUGAGUCACACUAAAUCAUGUAGGCUGCACAUAAAUUUAGUGAGACGCAUUUAAAUUUCAAUCAAUUACAGAAUGCACGUUGAGACAAGUGUGUUAGAGAGUAUCUUGUUAGAAUAAUUCUACGAACAAUUGAGGUCAAAUGUAGAUGAUGCAAAUUAAUUUGAGGUCGAGUUGGAGCCUACAGUUACAAAAAGCUCGAUGUGGCAGCCCAGAUAGCAGUCGAUCAAAGAUGACGCUAGUAAUACUCCCAUGACGAAAGUUGCUCCUCGAGGCGAAGUCCACUAUCAACAGCACAUAAAUGCCAAGAAGAAUAAUAAGAAAGAAUUCCAUUUUUUCCAUCAGGAAAAAGAUCUGGAAGAUCAAAGAGUGUGUCAUCAAUAUCAUCAUUUGUAGUAGCAGUUGUAGAUGGAGAACUUGAAUUAGACUCUUGAACAUUAUCAAUGGAAGAAAGAGUUGAAAAUGAAACUUGAUCUUGAUCUUGAUCUUGAUCUUCCUUAAUCUCCUCAAAUACAAUGGCUGCUGCUUUUGCAGCUGCAACUUGAAUGUCCUUAGGUGAUGUAGUCGAAGGCCUCGGAAGAUUUUGAGCCAAAUUAGGGAAAUUGAGGUAAGCUGAAUGACCCUUUAUGGCUAAAGCAGCUACAUCAUGAGCUCUAGCUGCCAUUUCAGCUGUAGGGUAUGUUCCAAGCCAUAUUCUUGACUUCUUUCUUGGCUCACGAAUUUCAGAUACCCAUUUUCCCCAUGCUCUCAUUCUUACACCUCUAUAUGUAGGGUGUUUUGUGUCAUUUUCAUUUCUCUCUCUUUUCUUGGAUUUUUUAUUUCCAUUUUGAGGAUUAUUUUUGGUUUCUAGAUUGGUAGAUGAAUUUGAAUUUGAAUUUGAGUUAGAAGAUGUUGGUGUUGAUGAUGAGGAUGUGCUAAAGAAGUUUUCAUUAGCAUCAUUUUCCAUGUUUUCCUAAGUUAGGGGGUUAUGAUUAGAUUUAGAGAGGUGUAUAGAGAGGAAGAAUGAGUGUGGAAGGUGCAUAAAAAUAGAGUGGAGUGUUUGUAUUUUAUGAUUCUCUAAAAAAAUAAAUUGGAUUUAUAUAAAGAAGAAAGGAAAAGAAUAAAGAAAAGAAAAAGAAACAAAAGCAAAAAAAUUAAGGGAAU